rnacentral:lncRNA from 1 species
AGCUGUCAAUUUGGCAUGUUUGAUAGAUGUUGAUGAAUAUACACAUGUGGGAGAAUUCAUGCUAAGUUACAUCAAUUCAAUGUUCAUUGAGCCCAAACUCGUACAAGUAAUAUCAUUGGUAACACAUAAUAAAUCAAUAACUGAUUGUAAGGAAAAAAAUAAUGGUACUCAAAGCAUAAUCGUUAGUGAAUAAUCUUUUUGGAAAAGAAAAGAGGUGUUAAUGGAAUAAAAGUGAAAUGCAAUCAACAUUCCCCUAUUUGUAGAUGUUACUUUUUUAAGUAUGUCAGUACAUGUGUGAAGUUUAAAUUUGAAAUUUAUUUAAUUAAUUAAGAUUGCAUAAUUGUGUUUCAAGGGCUUUCUUUUUUAUUUUUUUCUUUGUUGUGUUAAACCUUGGAUUGUGUUCUUUGUUGGUAGUUCCUGAGGAGUCUAUUAAAGUCAAUAGCCACAUUUUUUUUUGAUAAAACACAAGUCAAUAUUAUUGAUCAUCUCGCUGGAAAAUCAUCCAGCACGAUUUCUUUGACAAAGUAAUCUGCAUUAAUGGCAGAAAAUACAUUGAACAUAUCACAGGUAUAUUUGAUCUGAGAAAUCAUAAGAUUUAACAGUUACAAAAUAUAAGAAAUUAUACCGUGAAUCACCAAUCAUCAAAUCUGACCAAUUGAUCAAACCGCUCCAUAGAUAUCUGUGCAUGUCUAUUCCCUCAGAUUUGCUAUCCAACUGGUUUAAAUUCAAAACUGAUGUUGAGAUCUGGCGAGAAGACCCAAGAAAUUUUAGAUCUAUCAUAUAGAUUUGAAAAAAUUCUUAGAUCUGAGAAAAUACAUAACAAAAAAAAUAAAAACUAAACAAAACUCUCACCAGGAUAGCCUAGUAGAGAAGAAAACUCUCACCAGGAUAGCUUGAGAGAGAAGAAAACUCUCACUAUAAUACCCUAAGAGAAACUUUAUUAAAGUAAGAACAAAGGAAUACGAAAGGAGAAUAAAGGAAGAGGAAGGGAGACCUUGGCUUAACACCAAAAUCUCCCUCCUAUGGAGGAAGAAGAGUAGAGAGAAAGUUGAGGGUAGAGAGGGAAAG